AUUGAACGCUGGCGGCAUGCCUUACACAUGCAAGUCGAACGGUAACGCGGGGCAACCUGGCGACGAGUGGCGAACGGGUGAGUAAUAUAUCGGAACGUGCCCAGUAGUGGGGGAUAGCCCGGCGAAAGCCGGAUUAAUACCGCAUGAGACCUGAGGGUGAAAGCGGGGGACUCGCAAGAGCCUCGCGCUAUUGGAGCGGCCGAUAUCAGAUUAGCUAGUUGGUGGGGUAAAGGCCUACCAAGGCGACGAUCUGUAGCUGGUCUGAGAGGACGACCAGCCACACUGGGACUGAGACACGGCCCAGACUCCUACGGGAGGCAGCAGUGGGGAAUUUUGUGCAAUGGGGGAAACCCUGACACAGCGACACCGCGUGAGCGAAGAAGCCCUUUGGGGUGUAAAGCUCUGUCAACGG
rnacentral:rRNA from 1 species